CAGGUCACUCCUACGGGAGGCAGCAGUGGGGAAUCUUGCGCAAUGGCCGAAAGGCUGACGCAGCGACGCCGCGUGGGUGAUGAAGUUUCUCGGAACGUAAAACCCUGUCAGGUGGGAUGAAAUACCAUUCGGUUAACACCCGAGUGGCUUGACGGUACUCACAGAAGAAGCCCCGGCUAACUACGUGCCAGCAGCCGCGGUAAUACGUAGGGGGCAAGCGUUGUCCGGAAUCAUUGGGCGUAAAGCGCGUGUAGGCGGCUCGAUAAGUCCGCUGUGAAAGCCCGGGGCUCAACCCCGGGAUGCCGGUGGAUACUGUCGAGCUGGAGCACUGUAGAGGAGAGUGGAAUUCCUGGUGUAGCGGUGAAAUGCGCAGAUAUCAGGAAGAACACCCGUGGCUAAGGCGGCUCUCUGGACCGUAACUGACGCUGAGACACGAAAGCGUGGGUAGCAAACAGGAUUAGAUACCCUGGUAGUCCACGCCCUAAACGAUGCAUAUUUGGUGUAGGUCAUUCAGUUGAUCUGUGCCGGAGCUAACGCGUUAAAUAUGCCGCCUGGGGAGUACAGUCGCAAGGCUGAAACUUAAAGGAAUUGACG
rnacentral:rRNA from 1 species